UUACUAGAGUAGCACUCGCAUAUCAAUAAGCGGAGGAAAAGAAACUAACAAGGAUUCCCCUAGUAACGGCGAGUGAAGCGGGAAGAGCUCAAAUUUGAAAUCUUAAAGGGUUUCCCUUUACGAAUUGUAGUUUAAAGAAGUGUUUUCUGUUGAGGUUUUGGUAAAAGUUCUUUGGAAUAGGACAUCAUAGAGGGUGAGAAUCCCGUAUUUGACCUUUACUUUCAACUUUGUGAUACACUUUCAAAGAGUCGGAUCGUUUGGGAAUGCAGUCCAAAAUGGGUGGUAAAUUUCAUCUAAAGCUAAAUAUUGGCGAGAGACCGAUAGCGAACAAGUACCGUGAGGGAAAGAUGAAAAGAACUUUGAAAAGAGAGUUAAACAGUACGUGAAAUUGUCAAAAGGGAAGCGUUUGACACCAGUGUUGUUUUUCUGAAAAUCAAUUAAAGAACUGUUUAUGCUAAGUUGUUUAGACUUUAUCAGCUAACUGUUUAGUUUUGAGCUUUUCUUUAAUGCACUUUUCAGUUAACAAGUCAACAUCAAUUUCUUUUGCUGUAAAAAAGCUUGAGGAAGGUGGCUUGAGAUUCGUCUUAAGUGUUUAUAGCCUCUUGCCUAUGCAGUCGGAGAGAUUGAGGUCUGCAGCGUAGAUCCUUCGGGGCUAAAUGCAUUUGUGCUAAGUUAUAGCAUUUUAUAGACAACUUGUUGACUAUGAUUUGUCUUGUAGCUUACUCGCUUAUGUUAUUUUACCUACGCUUAGGAUGUUGAGCGCAUGUCUCUCUCU
rnacentral:rRNA from 1 species